UACGGGGGGGGCAAGCGUUGUUCGGAAUUACUGGGCGUAAAGGGUGUGUAGGCGGUUUUCUAAGUCUGGUGUGAAAUCUCCCGGCUCAACUGGGAGGGUGCGCCGAAAACUGGAAGGCUAGAGUGCGGGAUGGGAGAGUGGAAUUCCUGGUGUAGCGGUGAAAUGCGUAGAUAUCAGGAGGAACACCUGUGGUGUAGACGGCUCUCUGGACCGCAACUGACGCUGAGACACGAAAGCGUGGGUAGCAAACAGG
rnacentral:rRNA from 1 species